CCUACGGGAGGCAGCAGUGAGGAAUAUUGGUCAAUGGACGAGAGUCUGAACCAGCCAAGUAGCGUGAAGGAUGACUGCCCUAUGGGUUGUAAACUUCUUUUAUAUGGGAAUAAAAUGUUCCACGUGUGGGAUUUUGUAUGUACCAUAUGAAUAAGGAUCGGCUAACUCCGUGCCAGCAGCCGCGGUAAUACGGAGGAUCCGAGCAUUAUCCGGAUUUAUUUGGUUUAAAGGGAGCGUAGGUGGAUUGUUAAGUCAGUUGUGAAAGUUUGCGGCUCAACCGUAAAAUUGCAGUUGAAACUGGCAGUCUUGAGUACAGUAGAGGUGGGCGGAAUUCGUGGUGUAGCGGUGAAAUGCUUAGAUAUCACGAAGAACUCCGAUUGCGAAGGCAGCUCACUGGACUGCAACUGACACUGAGGCUCGAAAGUGUGGGUAUCAAACAGGAUUAGAUACCCUAGUAGUC
rnacentral:rRNA from 1 species